CUUCGGAGGAAUCUGCGUACCCAGACUGUAGUAAAGACCCCCAAGGGUCUUUGGUAUGGAGUCCAUAUAUCUAGAAGAAGUCCAGCCCAGCCCUGUUUACUUGCCUCCUCCACCAGUUGCUCCAUUUCAUCUGUGCUGCUCUGUAGCGACGGACACUGCAGACACAUCUCAAGGCGCAGAAAUACCUGAAGCUGACACCUACACAGAAACAGAUUGACAUCAUACUGUUGUCGGAGGGUUUUGCUGGUCUUCAGGAGAUGACUUCGGACUCUGUCCAGACAGGCCACCUGCAAAUACACAGAAACAUAGCACAGGGGCUCCAAGAUGUUCGAUAGAGAGUACCACCCUUCAACUACUGCAGGAUUCCAGCCAUCUGCGCAGGACAGUUCUUGCUGGACCCACUCUGGGACUGAAGUCUCUUCUGGACAGAAAGGCAAAAGUUAGAAUGAAACUAAGGAGAUUUCAAGUGGCCUCAGCACUCCCAAAGCCUUCUCUACCUGGCAUGUCACCGAGCCUUACCAAUAAGCAUAGUAAUGCAAAUACGCAGUCAACAACAACACACACCACCACCACCGUAGCCUGGGGUCCAGCAAACUUGGACCCUGACAGAUAGCCAGAGGGAGCAAGCCUCAUCGCCCAGAGACACUCCACUAGGAACAUCAAUUUUCAGUCUCUAAGAAUUCAGACCUAGGUACUAC